rnacentral:rRNA from 1 species
UACGAAGGGGGCUAGCGUUGCUCGGAAUGACUGGGCGUAAAGAGCGCGUAGGCGGUUUGUACAGUCAGAUGUGAAAUUCCUGGGCUCAACCUGGGGGCUGCAUUUGAUACGUAUGGACUGGAGUGAGGAAGAGGGUCGUGGAAUUCCCAGUGUAGAGGUGAAAUUCGUAGAUAUUGGGAAGAACACCGGUGGCGAAGGCGGCGACCUGGACAGUUACUGACGCUCAGGCACGAAAGCAUGGGGAGCAAAAGGG